rnacentral:rRNA from 1 species
UAGGGAGUCUUCCACAAUGGACGAAAGUCUGAUGGAGCAACGCCGCGUGAGUGAAGAAGGUUUUCGGAUCGUAAAGCUCUGUUGUUGGUGAAGAAGGAUAGAGGCAGUAACUGGUCUUUAUUUGACGGUAAUCAACCAGAAAGUCACGGCUAACUACGUGCCUAG